CCACACAAAUCCACAACGACCAAGCAUUAAUAUACGACCAGUCAGACUAGCCAAGACAAGCAACACCCUGCUAGACGACACAACACACCCCACAAACAUCUCAAACGAUAGCCUCAAGUAAAAAAGCCAUCAAUAUUCAAGACGAUACUUGAGAACCACAACCACACCAUCACCACCACCACCAUCACCACCACCACAUUAUGAGCAUCUGCCUGAACCCCCCCAACCUCAACACCUCUGCAUCUCACAACCACAACCAGAUCUCGCUCGACAUGUCGCUGUCCAUGGACUUUUUGAAACUGAUGCUGGAGGACAAGAAGCGACGCGGCGCGUUGAAGAGAGACACCAAGGGAGUCAAGAAGGCGAAGAAGAGUGUGCGAUUUGUGGUCUAGAAGACGAGCACAAAGUCCGAGUGUCGCACGACAUGAAACCCACAUACAGCAUCACCUCACCAUCCCCUACAUCCACUCUAUUUCUCAGCAUCACCUCGUUUCAUAUGACCACUACGCAUGGCCUCAUUCAUCAAUGAACAUCCAUCACGUGAUCUGCGGCACGUGACUGCCGCCCCUCCCCACUCAUCUUGCAUACUAAAUCUAUUUAUUUAUCGUA
rnacentral:misc_RNA from 1 species